rfam:Triticum aestivum genome assembly, contig: Triticum_aestivum_CS42_TGACv1_scaffold_405459_5BL
GCAAUACUCCCUCCGUCCGAAAAUACUUGUCAUCAAAAUGAACAAAAGGGGAUGUAUCUAGAUCUAGAUACAUCCCCUUUUGUUCAUUUUGAUGACAAGUAUUUUCGGACGGAGGGAGUACAUC